AUUGAACGCUGGCGGUAGGCCUAACACAUGCAAGUCGAACGAGAGGCGGACGGGUGAGUAAUGCUUGGGCAUCUAGCUUAUGGAGGGGGAUAACUACGGGGAACUGUAGCUAAUACCGCGUACCAUAGGAUGAGCCCAAGUGGGAUUAGGUAGUUGGGGAGGGAAAGGCUCACCAAGGCGACGAUCUCUAGCUGGUCUGAGAGGAUGACCAGCCACACUGGAACUGAGACACGGGCCAGACGCCUACGGGAGGCAGCAGUGGGGAAUAUUGCGCAAUGGGGGCAACCUGACGCAGCCAUGCCGCGUGAAUGAAGAAGGCCUUCGGGUUGUAAAGUUCUUUCGGUAGCGAGGCGUUAACUACAGAAGAAGCACCGGCUAACUCCGUGCCAGCCGCCGCGGUAAUUC
rnacentral:rRNA from 1 species